rnacentral:rRNA from 1 species
AGUGAACGCUGGCGGUAGGCCUAACACAUGCAAGUCGAACGGCAGCACAGUAAGAGCUUGCUCUUACGGGUGGCGAGUGGCGGACGGGUGAGGAAUACAUCGGAAUCUACUUUUUCGUGGGGGAUAACGUAGGGAAACUUACGCUAAUACCGCAUACGACCUACGGGUGAAAGCAGGGGAUCUUCGGACCUUGCGCGAUUGAAUGAGCCGAUGUCGGAUUAGCUAGUUGGCGGGGUAAAGGCCCACCAAGGCGACGAUCCGUAGCUGGUCUGAGAGGAUGAUCAGCCACACUGGAACUGAGACACGGUCCAGACUCCUACGGGAGGCAGCAGUGGGGAAUAUUGGACAAUGGGCGCAAGCCUGAUCCGGCCAUACCGCGUGGGUGAAGAAGGCCUUCGGGUUGUAAAGCCCUUUUGUUGGGAAAGAAAAGCAGCAGGUUAAUACCCCGCCGUUCUGACGGUACCCAAAGAAUAAGCACCGGCUAACUUCGUG